rnacentral:rRNA from 1 species
UACCUACGGGACGCAGCAGUGGGGAAUAUUGCACAAUGGGGGAAACCCUGAUGCAGCAACGCCGCGUGAGUGAAGAAGUCAUUCGUGAUGUAAAGCUCUAUCAGCAGGGAAGAAAAUGACGGUACCUGAGUAGGAAGCCCCGGCUAACUACGUGCCAGCAGCCGCGGUAAUACGUAGGGGGCAAGCGUUAUCCGGAUUUACUGGGUGUAAAGGGAGCGUAGACGGUAUGGCAAGUCUGAAGUGAAAGCCCAGGGCUUAACCCUGGGACUGCUUUGGAAACUGUUAGACUAGAGUGCUGGAGAGGU